UGUCAGAAGUGGAUUCGAACCACGCCCAGCAUCUGUGACCAGAACUUCCAACACUUCUGCGACAGAGCAAGGAACCUUGAGUCUGGCGCUUUGACCGCUCGGCCAUCCUGAC